rnacentral:rRNA from 1 species
GACGAACGCUGGCGGCGUGCCUAAUACAUGCAAGUCGAGCGAAGCGGCGGAUGGGUGAGUAACGCGUGGGUAACAUGCCCAUAAGUCUGGGAAACCAUUUGGAAACAGAUGCUAAUACCGGAUAAUAAAGGAGGGACCUGGGAUGCAUUAGCUAGUUGGUAAGGUAACGGCUUACCAAGGCGAUGAUGCAUAGCCGGGUUGAGAGGCUGAUCGGCCACAUUGGGACUGAGACACGGCCCAAACUCCUACGGGAGGCAGCAGUAGGGAAUAUUGCACAAUGGGCGCAAGCCUGAUGCAGCCAUGCCGCGUGUAUGAAGAAGGCCUUCGGGUUGUAAAGUACUUUCAGCGGGGAGGCGUUACUCGCAGAAGAAGCACCGGCUAACUCCGUGCCAGCAGCCGCGGUAAUUC